UGGGGCGUCGCCAAGCCGGUAAGGCACGGGAUUUUGAUUCCCGCAUUCGUAGGUUCGAGUCCUACCGCCCCAG
rnacentral:tRNA from 1 species